rnacentral:rRNA from 1 species
UACGGAGGGUGCAAGCGUUACUCGGAAUCACUGGGCGUAAAGGACGCGUAGGCUGUUUAGCAAGUCAGAUGUGAAAUCCAAUGGCUCAACCAUUGAACUGCAUUUGAAACUGCUAGACUAGAGUAUGGGAGGGGGAGAUGGAAUUAGUGGUGUAGGGGUAAAAUCCGUAGAUAUCACUAGGAAUACCUAAAGCGAAGGCGAUCUCCUGGAACAUUACUGACGCUAAGGCGUGAAAGCGUGGGGAGCAAACAGGAUUAGAUACCCUGGUAGUCCACGCCCUAAACGAUGAACACUAGUCGUCGCGAUGCUUGUCAUUGCGGUGAUGCACUUAACAGAUUAAGUGUUCCGCCUGGGGAGUACGGUCGCAAGAUUAAAACUCAAAGGAAUAGACGGGGACCCGCACAAGUGGUGGAGCAUGUGGUUUAAUUCGAGGAUACGCGAAAAACCUUACCUGGCCUUGACAUUGAUAGAAUCCUGUAGAGAUACGGGAGUGCCCUUCGGGGAGCUUGAAAACAGGUGCUGCACGGCUGUCGUCAGCUCGUGUCGUGAGAUGUUGGGUUAAGUCCCGCAACGAGCGCAACCCUCGUCCUUAGUUGCCAGCAGGUUAAGCUGGGCACUCUAAGGAGACUGCCUUCGCAAGGAGGAGGAAGGUGAGGACGACGUCAAGUUAUCAUGGCCCUUACGGCCAGGGCUACACACGUGCUACAAUGGGGCGUACAGAGUGUUGCAAUACCGCGAGGUGGAGCCAAUCACUUAAAGCGUCUCUCAGUUCGGAUUGUUCUCUGCAACUCGAGAGCAUGAAGCUGGAAUCACUAGUAAUCGUAGAUCAGCAUUGCUACGGUGAAUACGUUCCCGGGUCU